rnacentral:rRNA from 1 species
ACGUAGGGAGCGAGCGUUGUCCGGAAUUACUGGGCGUAAAGGGUGCGUAGGCGGCAUAGCAAGUCAGAUGUGAAAUCCCCGGGCUUAACUCGGGGGCUGCAUUUGAAACUGCUUUGCUUGAGUACAGGAGAGGAAAGCGGAAUUCCUAGUGUAGCGGUGAAAUGCGUAGAUAUUAGGAGGAACACCAGUGGCGAAGGCGGCUUUCUGGACUGUCACUGACGCUGAGGCGCGAGAGCGUGGGGAGCAAACAG